UACAUAGGGGGCGAGCGUUGUCCGGAAUGACUGGGCGUAAAGGGUGUGUAGGCGGUUUGGUAAGUUAGAAGUGUAAUACCCAGGGCUUAACUCGGGUGCUGCUUCUAAUACUGCUGAACUUGAGUGUCGGAGAGGAUAGUGGAAUUCCCAGUGUAGCGGUGGAAUGCAUAGAUAUUGGGAGGAACACCGGAGGCGAAAGCGGCUAUCUGGACGACAACUGACGCUGAGGCACGAAAGCGUGGGGA
rnacentral:rRNA from 1 species